rnacentral:tRNA from 1 species
AGUGUAUUGGUCUAACGGCUAGGAUACAUGACUGUCUAUCAUGGGGUACGGGUUCGAUUCCCGUAUACACCG